rnacentral:rRNA from 1 species
GUGGAUUAGAUACCCCGGUAGUCCACGCCCUAAACGAUGUCUACUAGUUGUCGGGUCUUAAUUGACUUGGUAACGCAGCUAACGCGUGAAGUAGACCGCCUGGGGAGUACGGUCGCAAGAUUAAAACUCAAAGGAAUUGACGGGGACCCGCACAAGCGGUGGAUGAUGUGGAUUAAUUCGAUGCAACGCGAAAAACCUUACCUACCCUUGACAUGGAAGGAAUCCUUGAGAGAUUGAGGAGUGCCCGAAAGGGAACCUUUACACAGGUGCUGCACGGCCGUCGUCAACU